rnacentral:rRNA from 1 species
AAACGGGUGGCGUCAAGCUGCAAGCCGGGAGAAUUCAGCCGAUUAGGGUGUAUAUGCGCCUGGCGCAUUGAACAGUCGGAGUGAGGUUGGGUAGUCCGCUGGAAGACAGUGGGUUCCGCCGCAAGGUGGGAUGUGUGUACCGGGUGUUAGCCGGAGCACGCUAUCCGUCUGCUGGACUGCCUAGUCGGUGCACUUUCUCCCUUUGGCUAACACCACGACCGGUGGUACAGCCAGUCUGCUAUGGUCAAGUCGUAGUUGGUGGGCACUUGUGUCUACCGGCUGCGGCGUUCACGGGCAAAUUCGGUAGACGGCGUUGGCAUUCGCCUUGUGCUGUGUCGGCGUGUUAUCGGCUAUUGGUUGUCUAAACGGGCUGCCUGGCGACGUUGAAGCCGUCGUGUUGGGUGGUCUGGUGGGCCAUAGUGGUAUGAAUAACUGUGCUGGGCACCGGAGUGUUCGGCCUCAAAUGCAGUCGGCAUGCACGCUUCAAGUGUGCGAUGUGGGUAGCGCUUUGGCCUGCCUGUUGUUGAGCCUGAUUGUCGUGUUGCCUGCGCAAAGUGGGCCCGGCAGUGGCUUGAUGCGGGAUGGUGCUGGAGACGCGGCUUGCAGUGCUGGCUGUGGUGGGCCUGAUAGUCAGUGGUGUAGUGGUAGACGAGCUACCCGACCCGUCUUGAAACACGGACCAAGGAGUUUAACAUGUGUGCAAGUCAAUGGGUCCUACGAAACCCAAAGGCGCAGUGAAAGUGAAGCCCUGACUCGUUUGGGGUGAGGUGAGAUCCUGCUGUUACUCGCAUCAUGCCAACACCAGGCAUCAAGAGCGGUAGGCGCAUCACCGGCCCGUCCCAUGAUGUGGCCAUUGGAAUAGGGCUGCGGUUGGCCUUCGGGUUGGCUGUAGUACCUCCAGUGCGUCAUCGGGGCGGAGCAUGAGCACACACGUUGAGACCCGAAAGAUGGUGAACUAUGCUUGCGUAGG